rnacentral:rRNA from 1 species
GACGAACGCUGGCGGCGUGCCUAAUACAUGCAAGUCGAACGCAGUGGGGACGGGUGAGUAACACGUGGGUAACCUGCCCAUCAGAGGGGAUAACACUUGUAAAAACGUGCUAAACCUUUAUUACUAGAUGGACCCGCGGUUCAUUAGCUAGUUGGUGGGGGAACGGCUCACCAAGGCCACGAUGCAUAGCCGGCCUGAGAGGAGGAUCGGCCACACUGGGACGGAGACACGGCCCAGACUCCGACGGGAGGCAGCAGUAGGGAAUCUUCGGCAAUGGACGAAAGUCUGACCGAGCAACGCCGCGUGAGUGAAGAAGGUCUUCGGGUCGUAAAGCUCUGUUGUUAGAGAAGAGGUACCCAAACAGAAAGCCACGGCUAAAUACCUGCCAGCAGCCGCGGGAAUUC